AAAACUAAAACAUAUUAACAAAUCCUAAAAUGCACUGUAAGAGUUGCCAGAAGAGUCUAUAGGGGAUGAGAAAAAGCUUUUAUAGUGUGUAGGGAAUAGGGAUCAGAGCACGAUUCUGGACUGCAGGAAGGGGGCGGGACCUUCACGCGGUUGCAUAGCAACAGAGACGCAUUUCAUAAACAGCGAGAUAAAAAAGAUAGUCAGCUUUACUUUACAUUUUAAACUGUAGAUUUAUAAAAUACUGAAGCUCUUGGUUGAUAGACGCAUAUAAGUUUCGGAACAGACGCUGAAAACGUGCAUAAUGGAGGAGAAAGCUCAGAAGCCGGCAGUGGAAGAGAACUCAUUUGAAGCUUUUGAGAAGGAGUUCCAGGAUGUGUUGAAUGAACUGGCAGGAGAGAACAGUCUGGAUCUUAAGUUCAGGGCGGAACAUGAAAAGCUCAUCACAGCCCUGAAGAACUCACAUGAGAAUGAAAACAGGCUGAUGACAAAAUGCCGAGAGCUGAAAGCAGAGAUAAGGGCCAACGCUGUCAAAGUGGAGGCGGCAUUGAAGCUGUCUCAUGAAGACCAGGCCACCAUUAUGCCACUAAAAAAGGAAAUCGAAAAGGCUUGGGAAAUGGUGGAUGCGGCCCAUGAAAAGGAGAAGAUUGCUAAAGACACAAUUAAGACUCUACAGCAGGAAAUAAACAGGCUUACUGUACUUGUCGAGCAAGAAGUUGUUGUAUCCAAAGCUGAAGUGCAGAGUGUGGGCGAGCUAUUGAAAAUCAAGGAGCAGUUGACGGCUGAGAGAGACAAGCUACUCUCCGAGCUGGUGACUCUCCGAGACAAUUUUGAAAAGGCCACAAUCAAGCAACAUGAGGCUGAGGAGGCGAACAUGAAGACCCAGGAAACCAUCUUACAGCUAGAGCAGGACAUCCAGGUGCGCCAGAACGAGUGCUCAAGAGAGACCCGUCAGAAAGAGACGCUGGAGAAAGAACUGAAACAGCUUCGUGCAGAUGUUGAAGCCCAGCAGUUGGAAAUGAAAGCAAUAAUCGCACAAAGCCAGCACAGCAAAGACAACCAGAAGAAGAUGGAGCAACAGCUCUAUGAACAAAAGAUUCUGAACGAGAGAGUCUCUAAAGAGCUGGAGCAGCUGCAAGUGCGCAAGACUAAACUCCAGCAGGAGAACGACCAGAACACACUCAGGUUAGAGCAGCUUACCUACGAAAAUAACCAACAAGCCUCUGAACUGAAGAUGGUGAGAGAGGAGGUGAGUCAGAUGAAGCAGGAGACUGUUAAGCUUACUAAGAUAAGGGAGGCCACUCAGAAGAAGCUACGCCUGAUGGAGGUCCAGAAACUGGAGGUGGAAGAGCAGAGAGACACACUAAAGAACCAGAUCGGAGGCUUGGAGAAAGAAAUGGAAAUGGCAGAAAAACAGACAGAGAGUGACAAGAAGAAAAUAGACGAACUGAUCCGGGAGAAAGACAUGCUGAGUAAGAACAUGAUCAAGGCAGCAAAUGCCACUGAGAAGCAGUUAAACUUGGUGAAGCUGCAUGAGCAGACAAAGAAGACAUUGGAUCAGGAAAUUCUCAACUACCGAGACGAGGCGCAGAAGCAGCGCAAGAUAAUAUUUCAGCUUGAAAAGGAGCGGGACCGCUACAUCAACGAAGCCAGCGACCUCACACAGAAGGUCUUAUCAAAUAUGGAGGACCUUAAAGUGAGAGAGAUGGAGAUCUUUGAAUACAAGAAGAAGAUUGCUGAGGCGGAGACAAAGCUCAAGCAGCAACAGAACCUCUACGAGGCCAUCAGGGCUGAACGCAACAAUUACAGCAAGAAUCUGCGUGAUACUCAGCAUGAAAUCACAGAUAUAAAGCACAAGUUGAAGUCCAUGACCCAAGAGAAUGGUCAGCUCACAGAGGAGAUCAAGAGCAAAGAGGCAGCACUGGUCAAAGAGCACCUAGAGUUCCAGCGCAUAGAGAAAGAAAAGAAGGCUCUUAAGGCUGAGCUUCAGAAGAUGAAGCAGCAGGCCCAAGAGACCAAGCAGUAUAUGGACAAUCAGGAGGUAGAAGAGCAGAAGUUGCAGAAAAUCAUAGCAGACGCUGAUGCCGAGAAAGUGAGCCUGAAGAAAGAACUGGAUCAGGUAAGUAGCGAGCGGGACAUUCUCGGGACUCAGCUGGUGCGGCGGAACGAUGAACUGGCACUGCUUUAUGAGAAGAUCAAGAUCCAGCAGUCCAUUAUGAACAAGGGCGAGAUCCAGUACAACCAGAGGGUGGAGGACAUCCGCCUGCUCAAGCUGGAGAUCAGGAAACUGCGGUCGGAGAAAUCAGUCCUCAACAAGACUGUGUCCAACGUCGAAGACCUCAGGAGGGAGGUGUUCCACAUGCAAAAGGACCUGCUUAAGGAGCGAGCAAGAUGUCAAAGCUUGCAAGAAAAACUUGAAAAUCCCAUUAAUGUUCAUCGUUGGAGAAGACUGGAAGCGAAUGACCCGAGCACCUUUGAGCUGAUCCAGAAGAUUCACUCUCUUCAGCGACACCUGAUAAAAAAAAGCAAGGAGGUAGUGGAGAAAGAGCUUCUGCUCCAGGAGAAGGAGAAGCUGUAUGUGGAACUGAAGCACAUAUUAGCUCGUCAGCCCGGUCCAGAGGCAGCCGAACAACUUCUGAUCUACCAACAAACGCUGAAGAAAAAGACCAGACAGCUCAAGACAGUUACAGCUGAACUCAACAUGUUCGAGUCUCAUGCAAAGCAGUACAAGAACGAGAUAGAGCAACUAACCAGUGAGCUACAUGACAUGAAGAAGAAGUAUUUAAUGCAGAAACGCAAGGAGCAGGCAUGCAGGACGUGCAGUUGUUUGCUGUACCAAAGGAUCAGGCUUUUAAUGAUAGGUUUUCCUCACAUGAGGUGGUGCUACACCGUUCAAGGGUAGCAUUCAACGGAGGGCCAAGGGAGCAAAAUUGGCCAUGCCGAACCACAGUAGCAGUCAAAUAGCAGGCUUAGCCAUAGACACAUUAGUUAGGAGACCCAACCCCACUGGGAGAAGAGGGGAACAUGGACCCAUGGACACCAUCCCAUGUGUGCACAUUAAUGGAGUCCAGCUGUCUUAGCAGACUUGGGAAAAUGAAAGGAGUCUGGAGCAAGCUGGGCAACCCCUGAUCAUGCCUCAGCGCAUUGAAGGACCCCGUUUUACAGGGGGAGGCUUCAGCCUGAAGCAGGGCAAAAAGAUUGCUGCCAGAACCCCCU